GACGAACGCUGGCGGCGUGCCUAAUACAUGCAAGUAGAACGCUGAAGAGAGGAGCUUGCUCUUCUUGGAUGAGUUGCGAACGGGUGAGUAACGCGUAGGUAACCUGCCUGGUAGCGGGGGAUAACUAUUGGAAACGAUAGCUAAUACCGCAUAAAAUUGAUUAUUGCAUGAUAAUUAAUUGAAAGAUGCAAUUGCAUCACUACCAGAUGGACCUGCGUUGUAUUAGCUAGUUGGUGAGGUAACGGCUCACCAAGGCGACGAUACAUAGCCGACCUGAGAGGGUGAUCGGCCACACUGGGACUGAGACACGGCCCAGACUCCUACGGGAGGCAGCAGUAGGGAAUCUUCGGCAAUGGGGGGAACCCUGACCGAGCAACGCCGCGUGAGUGAAGAAGGUUUUCGGAUCGUAAAGCUCUGUUGUAAGAGAAGAACGGGUGUGAGAGUGGAAAGUUCACACUGUGACGGUAUCUACCAGAAAG
rnacentral:rRNA from 1 species